rnacentral:rRNA from 1 species
UGAUCCUGGCUCAGGACGAACGCUGGCGGCGUGCUUAACACAUGCAAGUCGAACGGGCCUGCCUGGCUUUGGUUGGGUGGGUGAGUGGCGAACGGGUGAGUAACACGUGAGUAACCUGCCCUCUUCUCUUGGAUAACUGCUUGAAAGGGCGGCUAAUACGGGAUGUUCUGGCUGCCUCGCAUGGGGUGGUUUGGAAAGAUUCGGCCUGGUUUUGGUUGUUUUGGUGGGGGAUGGGCUCGCGGCUUAUCAGCUUGUUGGUGGGGUGAUGGCCUACCAAGGCGGUGACGGGUAGCCGGCCUGAGAGGGUGGACGGUCACACUGGGACUGAGACACGGCCCAGACUCCUACGGGAGGCAGCAGUGGGGAAUAUUGCACAAUGGGCGCAAGCCUGAUGCAGCGACGCCGCGUGAGGGAUGGAGGCCUUCGGGUUGUAAACCUCUUUCGCCAGUGAAGCAGGCCUGCUCCUUGUGGGUGGGUUGACGGUAGCUGGAUAAGAAGCGCCGGCUAACUACGUGCCAGCAGCCGCGGUAAUACGUAGGGCGCGAGCGUUGUCCGGAAUUAUUGGGCGUAAAGAGCUCGUAGGCGGCUGGUCGCGUCUGUCGUGAAAUCCUCUGGCUUAACUGGGGGCUUGCGGUGGGUACGGGCCGGCUUGAGUGCGGUAGGGGAGACUGGAACUCCUGGUGUAGCGGUGGAAUGCGCAGAUAUCAGGAAGAACACCGGUGGCGAAGGCGGGUCUCUGGGCCGUUACUGACGCUGAGGAGCGAAAGCGUGGGGAGCGAACAGGAUUAGAUACCCUGGUAGUCCACGCCGUAAACGUUGGGCACUAGGUGUGGGGGGCCUUUUCCGGGUCUUCCGCGCCGUAGCUAACGCAUUAAGUGCCCCGCCUGGGGAGUACGGCCGCAAGGCUAAAACUCAAAGGAAUUGACGGGGGCCCGCACAAGCGGCGGAGCAUGCGGAUUAAUUCGAUGCAACGCGAAGAACCUUACCAAGGCUUGACAUGUGCCGGUCGGCUCCGGAGACGGGGCUUCCUCCUUGUGGGGCCGGUUCACAGGUGGUGCAUGGUUGUCGUCAGCUCGUGUCGUGAGAUGUUGGGUUAAGUCCC